rnacentral:rRNA from 1 species
AGCUAAUAGAUACCCAGGUAGUCCACGCCCUAAACGAUGUCUACUAGUUGUUGGUGGAGUAAAAUCCAUGAGUAAACGCAGCUAACGCGUGAAGUAGACCGCCUGGGGAGUACGGUCGCAAGAUUAAAACUCAAAGGAAUUGACGGGGGCCCGCACAAGCGGUGGAUUAUGUGGAUUAAUUCGAUGCAACGCGAAAACCUUACCUGGCCUUGACAUGCCACUAACGAAGCAGAGAUGCAUUAGGUGCCCGUAAGGGAAAGUGGACACAGGUGCUGCACGGCUGUCGUCAGCUCGUGUCGUGAGAUGUUGGGUUAAGUCCCGCAACGAGCGCAACCCUUGCCAUUAAUUGCCAUCAUUUAGUUGGGCACUUUAAUGGGACUGCCGGUGACAAACCGGAGGAAGGUGGGGAUGACGUCAAGUCCUCAUGGCCCUUAUGGCCAGGGCUUCACACGUAAUACAAUGGUCGGUACAGAGAGUUGCCAACCCGCGAGGGGAGCUAAUCUCAGAAAGCCGAUCGUAGUCCGGACUGUUCU